rnacentral:rRNA from 1 species
GACGAACGCUGGCGGCGUGCUUAACACAUGCAAGUCGAACGGAAAGGCCCUGCUUUUGUGGGGUGCUCGAGUGGCGAACGGGUGAGUAACACGUGAGUAACCUGCCCUUGACUUUGGGAUAACUUCAGGAAACUGGGGCUAAUACCGGAUAGGAGCUCCUGCUGCAUGGUGGGGGUUGGAAAGUUUCGGCGGUUGGGGAUGGACUCGCGGCUUAUCAGCUUGUUGGUGGGGUAGUGGCUUACCAAGGCUUUGACGGGUAGCCGGCCUGAGAGGGUGACCGGCCACAUGGGGACUGAGAUACGGACCAGACGCCUACGGGAGGCAGUAGUGGGGAAUAUUGCACAAUGGCCGGAAGCGUGAUGCAGCAACGCUGCGUGCGGGAUGCCGGCCUUCGGGUUGUAAACCGCUGUCGCCUGUGACGAAGCGUGAGUGACGGUAACGGGUAAAGAAGCACCGGCUAACUACGUG